UACGGAAGGGGCAAGCGUUGUUCGGAAUCAUUGGGCGUAAAGGGCGCGUAGGUGGUCUUGUAUGUCUACCGUGAAAGCAUACAGCUCAACUGUAUUUUGUCGGUAGAAACUGCAGGACUUGAGGCUGGGAGGGGCUGGUGGAAUUCCCUGUGUAGCGGUGAAAUGCGUAGAGAUGGGGGAGAACACUCGUGGCGAAGGCGACAUCCUGGACCGGUAUUGACGCUGAGGCGCGAAAGCCAGGGGAGCAAACGGG
rnacentral:rRNA from 1 species